GAGCAAAUCUCCAAAAAACGUACUCAGUUCGGAUUGUAGGCUGCAACCCGCCUGCAUGAAGUCGGAAUUGCUAGUAAUCGUAGAUCAGCAUGCUACGGUGAAUACGUUCCCGGGCCUUGUACACACCGCCCGUCAAACCAUGAGAGUUGGCAACACCCGAAGCCUGUAGCUUAACCGCAAGGACGGCGCAGUCGAAGGUGGGGUCGAUGAUUAGGGUUAAGUCGUAACAAGGUAUC
rnacentral:rRNA from 1 species